UGAGAGGUUGAUCGGCCACAUUGGGACUGAGACACGGCCCAAACUCCUACGGGAGGCAGCAGUAGGGAAUCUUCCACAAUGGGCGAAAGCCUGAUGGAGCAACGCCGCGUGGGUGAAGAAGGUCUUCGGAUCGUAAAACCCUGUUGUUAGAGAAGAAAGUGCGUGAGAGUAACUGUUCACGUUUCGACGGUAUCUAACCAGAAAGCCACGGCUAACUACGUGCCAGCAGCCGCGGUAAUACGUAGGUGGCAAGCGUUAUCCGGAUUUAUUGGGCGUAAAGGGAACGCAGGCGGUCUUUUAAGUCUGAUGUGAAAGCCUUCGGCUUAACCGGAGUAGUGCAUUGGAAACUGGGAGACUUGAGUGCAGAAGAGGAGAGUGGAACUCCAUGUGUAGCGGUGAAAUGCGUAGAUAUAUGGAAGAACACCAGUGGCGAAAGCGGCUCUCUGGUCUGUAACUGACGCUGAGGUUCGAAAGCGUGGGUAGCAAACAGGAUUAGAUACCCUGGUAGUCCACGCCGUAAACGAUGAAUGCUAAGUGUUGGAGGGUUUCCGCCCUUCAGUGCUGCAGCUAACGCAAUAAGCAUUCCGCCUGGGGAGUACGACCGCAAGGUUGAAACUCAAAGGAAUUGACGGGGGCCCGCACA
rnacentral:rRNA from 2 species